GCCGGGAUGACAGAGUGGUAAUGUGCUGGCCUCGAGAGCCAGUGGCGCACUGCGCUACAAGGGUUCAAAUCCCUUUCCCGGCG
rnacentral:tRNA from 1 species